CCUACGGGAGGCAGCAGUGGGGAAUAUUGGACAAUGGGCGAAAGCCUGAUCCAGCCAUGCCGCGUGUGUGAAGAAGGCCUUCGGGUUGUAAAGCACUUUCAGUGGGGAAGAAAGCCUUGGGGCUAAUACCCUCGAGGAAGGACAUCACCCACAGAAGAAGCACCGGCUAACUCCGUGCCAGCAGCCGCGGUAAUACGGAGGGUGCGAGCGUUAAUCGGAAUUACUGGGCGUAAAGCGCGCGUAGGCGGUCUGAUAAGCCGGUUGUGAAAGCCCCGGGCUCAACCUGGGAACGGCAUCCGGAACUGGCAGGCUAGAGUGCAGGAGAGGAAGGUAGAAUUCCCGGUGUAGCGGUGAAAUGCGUAGAGAUCGGGAGGAAUACCAGUGGCGAAGGCGGCCUUCUGGACUGACACUGACGCUGAGGUGCGAAAGCGUGGGUAGCAAACAGGAUUAGAUACCCGGGUAGUC
rnacentral:rRNA from 1 species